UUUGUCGACAUAGAAAAAGGAUCGCCAGUGCUCACUAUUCUUCGUAUUCUUCCACUUUCCUCAAUCGUAUCGUCGCCAUUGAAAGCAAAAGAAGCUCGUACACUGAAAAGCCAAAAGACCAACGUUUCAUCUACAGCUUAAAAAAUCGUUUUCAAUCCAAAACUUCUCAUUCAAUUCCAAAUCAUUUACCUCACUAUUUAUCAUCACUGUAAUUCCCACUCCGGUCGUUUCAUGUUUAUGUCAACUUCCUUUAUAAAUUUAGGGUUAGAAACUCGGACCACACCCCAUCAUAAAAAACUGCACUCAUCAAAUACAGCCCUCUAUUAGUCACCGUUCCUGCUUCCGCGCCUUACGUCACUUUAGACAAUCGGCAUCUCGGACGGUCUUCCCAACAGAUUUUUGAGCCACGCAUCCGUUUCUGGUGAAUUUUCGGAAUCUAAAGAUGGCGUGGUGAGUCUCGCGACUUUCCCUGAUAUCCACCCCGAUUCUAGAGAAGAGCUCUUUGGUCAACGUAUUCAUCCAAGCUGCAUGAGCCAACCACUAUCGGCAUAUCUUAGAAGAAGGUCUCAACUUCAACAUUGGAUCACAGAGUUUUCAAAGUCUUCCGAUGACAAAACUCUACAAAAUCAUCAACCACUCUUUCAUCAUCUGAUUCAUCCCUUCCAGAACAACCACCAGCUUGACUACCUUCAAGCACCGGAACACCUAAUCAGCGAUAAGGUGAGGUUGCAUAUAUGACAACUGACAAGGACAAUGUGGAGACUGACUAAAAAUAGUUCUUAAUGAAAAUAGGUUCAUUUACAACGGAGGCUGUGGUAGAGUCGAGAGACACAAGGGAUGGUGUUCAACAUGAGAAUGAAAUUACCCCUAAGCGUUCAGGACAUGUGAUAUGUUUUACCUAGCUAAUAGCCAGGAAUAUAUAUGUACGAUCAACAUAAGAACACAU